rnacentral:rRNA from 1 species
AGUACGGCCGCAAGGUUAAAACUCAAAUGAAUUGACGGGGGCCCGCACAAGCGGUGGAGCAUGUGGUUUAAUUCGAUGCAACGCGAAGAACCUUACCUGGUCUUGACAUCCACAGAACUUUCCAGAGAUGGACUGUGCCUUCGGGAACUGUGAGACAGGUGCUGCAUGGCUGUCGUCAGCUCGUGUUGUGAAAUGUUGGGUUAAGUCCCGCAACGAGCGCAACCCUUAUCCUUUGUUGCCAGCGGUUAGGCCGGGAACUCAAGGGAGACUGCCAGUGAUAAACUGGAGGAAGGUGGGGAUGACGUCAAGUCAUCAUGGCCCUUACGACCAGGGCUACACACGUGCUACAAUGGCGCAUACAAAGAGAAGCGACCUCGCGAGAGCAAGCGGACCUCAUAAAGUGCGUCGUAGUCCGGAUUGGAGUCUGCAACUCGACUCCAUGAAGUCGGAAUCGCUAGUAAUCGUGGAUCAGAAUGCCACGGUGAAUACGUUCCCGGGCCUUGUACACACCGCCCGUCACACCAUGGGAGUGGGUUGCAAAAGAAGUAGGUAGCUUAACCUUCGGGAGGGCGCUUACCACUUUGUGAUUCAUGACUGGGGUGAAGUCGUAACAAGGUAACCGUAGGGGAACCUGCGGUUG